UACAACAAUUGUGAAUAAUUGUUUGAUGCAUAGUAUCACGCAUAUUAAAGAAAGCAAAUUAUUACAGAAGUAAAAAUCAUGUCAUCUGUAACUCUACAACUAAUUCUAGAUAGUUAUUGGAGGAGAGCAACAGAUAUUUGAAUAUUUCAUCUACUGAUUAUAUAAAAUGUUGGGUACAAGUAAGUUUCUGGUGGAAGAAGUUCUUGAUUUCUCUUGUAAUACCGCUAUAAGUUUUAAAUUUAUUUUAGCAAUACAAUAAUCAUGCUACCACCAAGGUUCAAAUCUUGAAUCUUCAAUUGGAAAGCAGUAAUAACCAACUGGGCUAAGUAAUCUUCAAUUGAACCGGCUGGUCCAGACCGAGUUUCCCAAACAGUUUUUUUUUUUUUCUCUUGUUAAUACAUGGGUUGAAAGUCGGAACAACCAUUCCCAAUUUCCUACCAGAACUCCACCUCCAUGUUGAGUUACUCCUUGAUUUUUUGCUUUUUUUCCUCGUAUUUGUUCUUCCGAUUUGGUUCCCGUGCUCUUCUUGUUUGCACUUCAUGGAAUGGUUAGAUUUUUUGUGAUUUUCGUUUCAAUCUGAUUGUUUUGGUUGGUUGAUUGGGUUGCGUAAUUGGCACUGGGAGGAGGAUGAGGCGUAGGAUUUAGAUUUUGAUUAUCUGAAAUUGAAAUUUGGUAGAUUGUCUUUCUGAUUUUUUUCUUCCAUAUUUUUAUAAUUUCUGAAAAUAAAAAAACAUAUAUGUUGUUUUGCUGAUGUCAUCAGUCGAACAUGACUAACCAGCGAGGGCACCGAGUCCUCUCCC
rnacentral:lncRNA from 1 species